rnacentral:rRNA from 1 species
CGGAGGGUGCAAGCGUUAUCCGGAUUCACUGGGUUUAAAGGGUGUGUAGGCGGGCUAUUAAGUCAGUGGUGAAAUCUCCGGGCUCAACCCGGAAACUGCCAUUGAUACUAUUAGUCUUGAAUAUUGUUGAGGUAGGCGGAAUAUAUCAUGUAGCGGUGAAAUGCAUAGAUAUGAUAUAGAACACCGAUUGCGAAGGCAGCUUACUAAACAAUUAUUGACGCUGAGGCACGAAAGCGUGGGGAUCAAACAGGAUUAGAUACCCUGGUAGCCCACGCCCUAAACGAUGAUUACUCGACAUACGCGAUACACAGUGUGUGUCUGAGCGAAAGCAUUAAGUAACCCACCUGGGAAGUACGUCCGCAAGGAUG